GGCGGGGUGCCGGAGCGGUCGAACGGGGCGGUCUUGAAAACCGUUGGGCGCGCAAGCGUCCCGUGGGUUCGAAUCCCACCCCCGCCG
rnacentral:tRNA from 1 species